AAAACAUAAUAGAUAUAUUUUAAUAUUUUCAUAAUAUCAAUUUUUAAAUUUUUAUCAAAUAUUUUUACUUUUGUAUAUAUAUUGUUUUUGAGAAAAAGAAAAAAAAUUUACCCUUCCGCAACCGUCCGCAACCGCAAAUGCUAGCUGGAGCCAGCUUUUGAAUUUAUGAGAUUCAGAGCGGUUUAGAGCGAUUUGAGUGAUUGUUGCAAACUGUCGACAACUGCUACCAACCGUAAAAGCUGCGUUUGUGAGUGGUAGCGGGAAAACCAGUUGCCCCCUAAAUCAUUUGCUUUUGAUGGGAUCUACUGAUUAUUUAAUUAUUUUUUCUCUAAAAACUUUUUUUUAAGGAUUCUCAUUGCAAUGCUCUUACAUGCGUAGUAAUAUUCAGCCCAUCUCGACACUGACCAUAGUGUCAGCCUGUCAGCAUGUGCGCCACUUAAAAUACAUCUUAACAUUUCUUAUUUUAUUAGAGAAUUUGUUGUGGGCGAUCAAUUAUGGCCGGCAAUUACAACUUUUACAUAUGAUAUGUAGUGCUAAAGAAAUAUAUUUCUUUUUUAAAAACAAAAUGUACUAUAUUAUCAAAUUCCAUUGUAUCGAGAAAGAGAAUAAAAAUUAUUUAUAAUACUAUUUUUUUCGUUUCUUCUUUAUUUGCAUACUUAAAAAAUAAAAAUCGAUAAGUGUGACUGGAUCACAGAGGCGGAGGCAGCUGUGUGAGAGGGGGUCACUUCACCCCCUAUAUAUUUUUGUUGAAAAUAAAUUUACUUGCAUUUUGGAAAAAAGAAUCCGGUAAAAUGUUGUACAAUUAGUAUUCUAACCCCAUAAUAUUUCCUCAAAUAUGACUUGAUCCCAUCAAUACUAUUAAAACAGAAGGUCAUUUUUUGAGGUAUCAUUUUGUUUCAACAAUAUUUACAGAACCAUGCCACUACUUUAUUUAAAACCUAUACUUUUAAUUAUAUAGAAAUAUUCAACUAAAUAUCUUUUAAUCUAAAAAUUAAUUUUUAUUUAAUUUUCUUUCCUUUACUUUCAGCGUAGUGAAUAUAGUUGGAGGAAUUAGAUUUAUUUUCAGUUUUUGGAUUCGAUGAAGGAGCUUUGUUGAUUCCCAAAACUUUAAAAAAAUUCUCAUGAGUUCUUCCAUUCUUUUUUUUUCUUCCAUUGUUCUACCAAUUAGUUAAAAAAUAGUCUCUUUUCUCUCUUAGCAACAAGAUUGAGAAAUAGGGAGACUUUACUCUUCACCUUCUUCUCUUUUCUCUCUGUGACUUUUUUUAGCUGAUUCAUCUUUCUUUUUCUCGCUGAUUAAGCUCUCAAGUCUCAGGUCUGUGUAUGCUCUUUCUUCUAGACACAUCUUUUUGGGUUUCCACCUGAUUUACAUUAUUAGGGAAACAAAUGCAGACAUAUAAGAGUUUAAGAGCAAUUCUAUCUGAGUCAAUCACCGGCAGAUGAACUCGUGUUGCCUAGCAUAUCAAAAGGUAUUCGAUCUAUUCUAUGUUCCAAUCAGCGUUGUUAUUCAGUUGUUAUUUCCUUGUGUGGUUUACGGUGUUAGUUCUUUCACUGUUAAGGUUUAUCUUGAUUUAUGUCUUGUCAUAGAAAGUUUUUUGUUUUGAAUUUCGUGUAAGGAGCUUUUGAAAGAAACAAUGCCCAAACAUAAGGCUGUAUUGAUCUGGUAUUUUAUUUCCUCAGAAGAGUGUUCGUCUCUGAUUGAUGGAGUUGAUGUGUUUGUAAAUUUCAAGGUGAGAAGUUGGUGCUGGAAAGAAACAUCACUUCCUCUGCAUUGUUUCCUUCUCAAAACAGUUAACUGUUUCAAGUAAUGCACCAACAAAAGGAAAAUUAGCUCCAGUGAUUCUGCCGAGAUUUAUGCAAUACUUAGGCAUAUUUUGUAUAUAUAUGUCGAAUAAUUCUCAUCAUUAAUAUUUUUAAAUCGAUGAUUCUAUACAGCUAUUGUAAUAUUUAUUGUUAAAAAAAUAUAUUAAGAGAUCUUAAGAGAUUUAGAAUUUGUGAUCAACACAAAAAAUUUAAAACGUUACAUAACUAACAAAUAUAAUAUCAUUAUCUAACUACCACUAUAUAGUAUAUUCUAAACAUGUACAAAUAAGAGUGUUUCUAAUACAUAGAUAAGCGUACUAAGCAUAUCUUUUCCCUAACUAAGAGGAAUGUAUUAAAUUAAAGGUUUUAGAAGAUUUUAGAGUAUUUUAAUUUUGGUUGGAUUUAGGUGAAAUUUGAAAUUAUUUGAGUGAUUUUAGUAAAACUUAAAAAUAAACGAUAUUUUCUAAGAGUUUCAAAGUUGUUUAGGUGAUUUGAAAUGAUGAUAUAUAUUUUUAAGCUUGGGCAUUCGGGGUCCAAUCGGAUUUCGGCUUUGUCUAAUCGGGUUUUGGUUAUUCAGGUUUAUCAAAAUCAGCCAUAUUUGGGUUCUAUCGAGUUCGGGUCGAGAUUAGUAAAUCAUCAGAGAACCGGUAUAACCCAAUGUAAUUUUGGGUUCGGAUCUCAAUCGGUUCUUUAGUUUAAAAGUAUCUGAUUUAUACCUAAUUUGUAAUCAAAACAUAAGUAAAGUCGGUUCUUUGAUUUUAGAGUAUCUGAUUUGUACUUAUUUUAUGACCAAAGCAUAAGUAAAAUCGAUUCAAAAAAAAACAUCAAACGUGAUCAUUUAAAAUCAAAUGAAAUGUAAACAUAGUUAUUAAUCGAAAGAAAACCAAAUAACUAAAAGAAUAAACGACAACAAAGUUCUCAUGAAAUGAAAUCAUUAUUCAAUGAAAACAAAACCAAAAUAUAAAAAUUUCAAGCCUCAACCGCCACCUUCAACCAUCAAACUUCAUGUAAUAGAUAAUUAGUUUAGAAGCAUAUUAAGAAUUGAAACUAAUUUGAAAAAUAAUCAAUAUAAUUUGAAAACCCAACAACUAAUUUGUUUUUUUGAAGUAUAUACAAAAUAAAAAAUAAAAAAAAUAUAUUAGAAAUUUUAAAAAUAAAUUAACUCUCAAAUAUAAAUAUUAAAA